UACGUAGGGGGCAAGCGUUGUCCGGAUUUAUUGGGCGUAAAGAGCGUGUAGGCGGCCAAGCAGGUCAGCUGUGAAAACUCGAGGCUCAACCUCGAGACGUCGGUUGAAACCGCUUGGCUAGAGUCCGGAAGAGGAGAGUGGAAUUCCCGGUGUAGCGGUGAAAUGCGCAGAUAUCAGGAGGAACACCAAUGGCGAAGGCAGCUCGCUGGGACGGUACUGACGCUGAGACGCGAAAGCGUGGGGAGCAAACAGG
rnacentral:rRNA from 1 species